rnacentral:rRNA from 1 species
GGAGUUGAACUGCAAGCUCUGGGAAUUCAGCUGAUGAGUGUGAUUUGUGCUUGGGCAUACUGGCCGCCUUCAGUGUCUGUUUAACCUCAGGUGCCUGCUUUUUGGUGGGUAUGUGUGAUUCGUUUGUAUACGACGCACGCACUGUUGGUGUGAGGGUCUGCUUGUCAGUGCACUUUCUCAGGGUGUUCACCACGACCGGCGCUGCUGCCUGUCUGCUAUGGUCAAACUGAUCAGGCCUGAUUUCUGUCGGGCUUGGUUGGGUCGGCAGGUGACCCUUUGGCUCAUUCGUGGGCUAUGAGUGUUACUAACCGGCUGUAGUGGAGCUGUGCGGUGUGUCGGAGAUGGCGGCUUCGCAUGCGUGCUUUGACCUUCGGGCAUUGUCGAGUCUGGUCGGCUUGUUACUAGCUUCGGCUGGUCGGCUGAUGGCUUGGUUUUGUCGCGUUGGCAGUUGCGUGUGUGAUUUGUACUGGGCCAAU